UGCAAGUCGAGCGGAUGACGGGAGCUUGCUCCUUGAUUCAGCGGCGGACGGGUGAGUAAUGCCUAGGAAUCUGCCUGGUAGUGGGGGACAACGUUUCGAAAGGAACGCUAAUACCGCAUACGUCCUACGGGAGAAAGCAGGGGACCUUCGGGCCUUGCGCUAUCAGAUGAGCCUAGGUCGGAUUAGCUAGUUGGUGAGGUAAUGGCUCACCAAGGCGACGAUCCGUAACUGGUCUGAGAGGAUGAUCAGUCACACUGGAACUGAGACACGGUCCAGACUCCUACGGGAGGCAGCAGUGGGGAAUAUUGGACAAUGGGCGAAAGCCUGAUCCAGCCAUGCCGCGUGUGUGAAGAAGGUCUUCGGAUUGUAAAGCACUUUAAGUUGGGAGGAAGGGCAGUAAGUUAAUACCUUGCUGUUUUGACGUUACCGACAGAAUAAGCACCGGCUAACUCUGUGCCAGCAGCCGCGGUAAUACAGAGGGUGCAAGCGUUAAUCGGAAUUACUGCUUGCACCCUUCGUAUUACCGCGGCUGCUGGCUGNAGGUGAAUGCCCCGAGUUCAAACUGGGAACUGCAUCCAACACUGGGGGAGCUAGAGUACCGGUUGAGGUCCCGCGCAACUGCCCUAGGCACGCCCAUGCUGGUUCUAUUUCGGAUACAGGGCGGAGUCCAAGGCUACCAACUCCUGUUUUUGCACUCACGCUUUAGGCACCUCAGGGUCAGAGUCAGUCCGAAAAGGCCGCUUUCGUCACUGGCAUUACUCCCCGAUCUCAACGCAUCUGGAGGGAUACUCCGGGAAUUGCUACCUUCCUCGUCCUGGCGUUCUACUUGGAACGUAUCGGAUGUCAGGUCCAAGGGUAGGAGGCCCGGGGGGUAUUUAUUGAUACUGUGGUAUAUACCCU
rnacentral:rRNA from 1 species